rnacentral:lncRNA from 1 species
CUCAGAGGCCAUCAAGAGCAGGCUGCUUUCUGAGAGGGUUCCUGGGUGCCCUGUGCUCCAGAGAAACCGGGACUUCAGCCAGCCCUGCACCAGCCUCUGGCGACCCGACCCGGAACCAGCUUCCCUCCCCUGCAGCAUCUCUGGCACCUGCUCUACUGUCCCUUCUUUAUUGAUUCAUCCAUUCAACACAAAUGUACUGAGCAGCCACCCGGGUCAGACACACCGCUAGGGACUGAGGAUGGAGGAGUGGACAAGGAGGACCCAUCCCUGGCUGCCGGGAGCCUACAGUCUAGUGGAGGAAACAGACACCAGAGAACUAACCAUACUGACUAAUGAAUGACGACUGUGGUAUUGCUGGUCUGAGUGCCCCUGCUAUAAAGCAAGGAGUGUCAGUGCGGACUCUGCAGCCAGAAAGCCAGAAAUGUGCUCCCCUGUUGGGGAGAUAAAAGAGCUCUCGGGAGCACCGGGGAUGAAGAAGCUUGUUAAGGAAUGAGAAUAAGGCAGAGAAGACCAGAAAGGUAAGCUGUUGCACAGCAAUCUGUCCCAGCAGGAAAUACCGACUGUGAAGAUACAGAGCUGCCUUCGGAUUCUAGUCGUCUCCAGAACCACACAAACGAUUGUGCAUGAGAGAUUCAAUGGGCACAGGCAGCCUUUGACUGAGGCUGGACUCCUGCUUGUUACCCCGGCAACUGUGAUGGUCCUUAUUAAGACAACAGGGAUGCUUCCAAGCACCAAGAGGGUAGGGAACUAGGUGGUGGUUGUUAGUGCUAUGGAGUGGCUUCUGAUUCCUAGUGACCCUGUGGACAGCAGAGCGGAACCCUGCCUGGGACUUUUGCCCCAUCCUCUCACCUCUGACGCUCUAUCAGACAGUGUUCCGCUCCUAUUCACAAGGUUUCCAUGGCCAGCUUUUUCAUAAGUGGGCGGCCAGGUCCUUCCUCCUAGUAUGAGUUAGUCCGGAAGCUCUGCUGAAUGCUGUCCACCGUGGGGAACACUGCUGGUAUUUGAAAUACUGGUGGCAUAGUUUUCACAUCACAGCAACACAGCCGCCAUGGUAUGACAACAGAUGAGUGCUGUGGUUCCCUGACAGGGAAAAGAACCCAGGCAGUGG